GACGAACGCUGGCGGCGUGCUUAACACAUGCAAGUCGAACGGAAAGGCCCUGCUUUUGUGGGGUGCUCGAGUGGCGAACGGGUGAGUAACACGUGAGUAACCUGCCCUUGACUUUGGGAUAACUUCAGGAAACUGGGGCUAAUACCGGAUAGGAGCUCCUGCUGCAUGGUGGGGGUUGGAAAGUUUCGGCGGUUGGGGAUGGACUCGCGGCUUAUCAGCUUGUUGGUGGGGUAGUGGCUUACCAAGGCUUUGAAGGGUAGCCGGCCUGAGAGGGUGACCGGCCACAUUGGGACUGAGAUACGGCCCAGACUCCUACGGGAGGCAGCAGUGGGGAAUAUUGCACAAUGGGCGGAAGCCUGAUGCAGCAACGCCGCGUGCGGGAUGACGGCCUUCGGGUUGUAAACCUCUUUCGCCUGUGACGAAGCGUGAGUGACGGUAAUGGGUAAAGAAGCACCGGCUAACUACGUG
rnacentral:rRNA from 1 species